CCGACUGCUGCUGUCUAUAGAUCAUGGAGGAGUACGUCACAUAGUAGUUCUCAAACACUGACUCCUUAAACUUGCACUCUGGUGUGAAGUGUUCCUGAAGGACAAAGGAAGGAGGAGAAAAAAAAAGAUGCAAGAUGAGCCUGGUGCCAACAAGAGCACUCCACUGUUCAACGUACAGGCCGGAGUCGUCCUUCUGCUCCGGCUGACUCACACAGACACUGAGCUCCCACACACACUGACAGGAACACUCCUGAUGUCACAGACCAGCCGUGACAUCGCACCUGCUCUGGGACAGGCUGUCGGCUCAGCUCUGAGCUACAUCCCCGAAAACAGAAGUGCGGACGUUCAAAAGAUCUGCGCUCUGAGGGGCUGCGGUCAGCCUGAUGAGAAAGUUUGAUUACGUGUGAUAUCCUACAAGCAGACACACAGGGACAGCUCUGGGAUCGAUACUUCACCUGAGAUAAACAUCAUCAAGACGUUAGAUGGAUCUUUGGUCAGCUAUCAGCACUGUGGUAAAGACACUUCAGUCAAGUCGGGUUCAGUCUGGGAUUCUCUCUUUUUCGGCUUCUGUACGCUAUACCUCCUACCAUUCCCCCUCUCUCUCCCUCGGUCUCAUUACUUUACCCACUCUCCCUCUUCCAACUCCAAUCCCAUUUAUGGAAAAGAAGUAAAUGGGGAAGCUGACACUAUCUAUUCCAGUCAGAGGCUGUUCCUUCCUGCGCGGUGCAGUACGAACGCCUGGUAACCAGGUCUCUUCACCUGUACCUCAUUCUUCCCUCUGACUCAACCACCCAUCUGAAUAAUUGAAUUAUCAGUGAAGCUCAAGAUGUCUCAAACGAGAGAGUCGUACUGCUGAUGGCACUAACUUUACUGAGAAAAACACCACAGAGCUACUACGGUUUCCCUUUUUCAGCUUCUUGUCAAGCUAAUGUGAACUGCAUUUUAAAAAAAACUAUUUUACGUCUGUACCGUGACGUAUUUGGCAAUCCCUAAAUAACAACAUACUGUCAGUUUAACCUAAUAUAUUUAAAAGAUACAGGAUUUAUGUCUUAACUGCAUAAAAAAGGCAUGUGUACUGUAUUUGUAGAAAGUGCUCUAUAAGAUCUGAAUUGUUCCUUUGCAGAAUGUCUCUUAUGGCCACUACAGCAGGCUAUGAUGUCUGUGCUCUCUCUGUAGUCUGUGGACUUCUAAUAUUGAUGUGCCCGUCUCUGCCUGCUCUUAAUGACCCAACACUAAACUGAUUUUCGACUUCAAAUGCGCCGGCAGAGCAGCUCACAGGACAGCCCGCACGUCGCCAGUGCGCACUGACUGUCAUCUGAUCACCUGUUCAUUUGCGAUAUGUUGUGAUUAAACUAUUUAUAUUUGCAUGGUUGUUUUAAUAUCUGAAGUGUUGACUGAUCAAACAGCAGGUAUUACCAUUAAGCUUAGCAUUGAAUCAUGCGGUUUGGUUUAUUAAAUGUAAAGAGAAAGUGUGCAGAGAACAGAACAUAUGUUUAAUUGAUUUCCUCUCUCCCACUCACUGUCACGCUGAUGGAUGAAUACAUUUGCAUGCAAGACAUACAGACUCAC